GCCGGGCAUGGUGGCGCAUGCCUGUAAUCCCAGCUACUCAGGAGGCUGAGGCAGGAGAAUCGCUUGAACCCGGGAGGCAGAGGUUGCAGUGAGCUGAGAUUGAUCGCACCACUGCAUUGCAGCCUGGGUGACAGAGCCAGACUCCGUCUCAA
rnacentral:SRP_RNA from 1 species